rnacentral:rRNA from 1 species
CCUACGGGCGGCAGCAGUGAGGAAUAUUGGACAAUGGUCGGAAGACUGAUCCAGCCAUGCCGCGUGCAGGAUGAAGGUCCUAUGGAUUGUAAACUGCUUUUGUAAGGGAAGAAUAAGGAGUACGCGUACUUUGAUGACGGUACCUUAUGAAUAAGCAUCGGCUAACUCCGUGCCAGCAGCCGCGGUAAUACGGAGGAUGCAAGCGUUAUCCGGAAUCAUUGGGUUUAAAGGGUCUGUAGGCGGGCAGAUAAGUCAGAGGUGAAAGCGCUUAGCUCAACUAAGCAACUGCCUUUGAAACUGUUUGUCUUGAAUGGUUGUGAAGUAGUUGGAAUGUGUAGUGUAGCGGUGAAAUGCUUAGAUAUUACACAGAACACCGAUAGCGAAGGCAUAUUACUAACAAUUAAUUGACGCUGUUGGACGAAAGCGUGGGGAGCGAACAGGAUUAGAUACCCUAGUAGUC